rnacentral:rRNA from 1 species
UACGUAGGUGACAAGCGUUGUCCGGAUUUACUGGGCGUAAAGAGCGCGCAGGCGGUCGUUCAAGUCGAGUGUGAAAGCCCCCGGCUCAACUGGGGAGGGUCAUUCGAUACUGAUCGACUCGAAGGCAGGAGAGGGUAGUGGAAUUCCCGGUGUAGUGGUGAAAUGCGUAGAUAUCGGGAGGAACACCAGUGGCGAAGGCGGCCAGCUGGCGCUGACCUGACGCUGAGGCGCGAAGGCGUGGGGAGCGAACGGG